AGCGAACGCUGGCGGCAGGCUUAACACAUGCAAGUCGAGCGGGCACUUUCGGGUGUCAGCGGCGGACGGGUGAGUAACGCGUGGGAACGUGCCCUCUGGUUCGGAAUAACUCAGGGAAACUUGAGCUAAUACCGGAUACGCCCUUUUGGGGAAAGGCUUGCUGCCGGAGGAUCGGCCCGCGUUUGAUUAGCUAGUUGGUGAGGUAACGGCUCACCAAGGCGACGAUCAGUAGCUGGUCUGAGAGGAUGAUCAGCCACACUGGGACUGAGACACGGCCCAGACUCCUACGGGAGGCAGCAGUGGGGAAUAUUGGACAAUGGGCGCAAGCCUGAUCCAGCCAUGCCGCGUGAGUGAUGAAGGCCUUAGGGUUGUAAAGCUCUUUUAUCCGGGACGAUAAUGACGGUACCGGAGGAAUAAGCCCCGGCUAACUUCGUG
rnacentral:rRNA from 1 species